GAAAGGUGACACAAAUCAGAUGAACAAUGCCUAGAAGGACAGAUGGAAAUCGCUGGCUUUUUUACCUCAGCCAUCUGAUACUCCACACCAUCCACUGGCAGGAAGAGAGAGCAGCUGCAGAGAGAGAACUACUAAAUGAGGUUUGCUGGUCUUGAGACCCAGAUUUACAGAGUGCCCCCAGCUGCAAGGCUCAUGUGGUAUCCACGAUGCAAGGCUCAUGGCAAAGUGCCUUCAGCUGUGUUCCCUGCUUGUCCACGGCUGCAAGGCAAAAGGUAAAGUAUAUAAAUACCCAGGAUUUCCUUUCAAUAAAUGAGACUUGAUCUGA